rnacentral:tRNA from 2 species
UCCUCGGUAGCUCAACGGUAGAGCGACCGGCUGUUAACCGGUUGGUUGUUGGUUCGAAUCCAGCCCGAGGAG